AGCUGGGGGCAAUGGGAAGGGGAGACUUUGUGUGUUGGAUGGGGGGCGCGGGAAGGGAUUGUCAAAAAGGGAGAGACAGGCAAGUUUAUGAGUUAGGUGGGAGAGGCAGUCAGGUUGUGAGGAAAACUGAGAUAAAAAUAGGACGAGCCUAGUCAUUGCUGGUGAGGCCCCAUAAGGGCCUUUUGUUAACAAGCCAGCAGAAAAAAAUGCAGCAAGUGGGUUGGGGGGAAGGGGGGGAGAAGGUGAGGGGAGAGCAGAAUAAUAGAGAUCAGGCGGUGGAGAGAGAAUUGGGAGGGGAUGAAUGGACUUAAAACUGAUAAAGGAAAACACUGAAGUUGUUAAUAUCAGUUAUAUCCUAAAUUUGUUUGAUUGCAGGUCCAGUAAUAAGAUACAAGUACGCUGCAGGGAAGAUUGGAGCCUUGAGGAAGAUAGUGUGCCCACUGCAAUUCAGGGACCUGCAGGAAAGAAAGGAGAACCAGUCACCAUGGAAGGGUUGAAGAACUAAUAAAAUCAUCCUUGUUGCAGAAGACAUGGAAAGUAUACUCCAGGGACUGGCAGUCAUGGAUUCGGUUUCUACAAGUCAGGUAACCUGAGCAUAGUGAAUGACAGCAGUUGCCUUCUGCAUUUUAUCAUGCAACUAAGGAAUGAAGGAACAUCUACAGCAUCAACGAACUGGGAAGCUAGUGGGAAUAUCUAUUUUCACACACACAUUAAUAAAUAAUUACAACCUAUGAAA